UUUCCGUAGGUGAACCUGCGGAAGGAUCAUUACUGAGUGAGGGCCCCUCGGGGUCCAACCUCCCACCCGUGUUUAACGAACCUUGUUGCUUCGGCGGGCCCGCCUCACGGCCGCCGGGGGGCAUUUGCCCCCGGGCCCGCGCCCGCCGAAGCCACCUGUGAACGCUGUCUGAAGUAUGCAGUCUGAGACAAUUAUUAAAUUAAUUAAAACUUUCAACAACGGAUCUCUUGGUUCCGGCAUCGAUGAAGACGCAGC
rnacentral:misc_RNA from 1 species